rnacentral:rRNA from 1 species
CUGGACGGCCAUAGUGGCUUGGUUACACCGGUACCCAUUCCGAACACCGAAGUUAAGCAGGCCUACGUUUGGUGCUGUACUGUCCUUUAGGUCGGGAAACACCAAAAGCUGUCCUCC